CUUUAUGGAAACGAUAAACAAUAUAUGGGAACGAAUAUAGUUGAGGGAAAUAAUCCAAACCUAGUUAUUAUUUCGAGACAUAUUCAGAGCCAAACAUCAACCCAACUUAUCCUUUUAACUGUUGUCGCAUCCAAACUUGUCACCAUCGUUUUCAGUUGUAAUUGCGAAGUUUCCGGAAGAAGUCCAGCAACAACGGAGGUUCCUCGAUGAACCCACCUUCUAACAUGUUCUUUGAAGAACCUUUUGGGGCUGUUUUUCAUUGACCAAGAACCCUAUGGUUCUUAGGGGAUCUCAGAACAACUCCAGUUGAACCCUGUAUUUUUAGAGUUGUAGUCAGAUCCAUUUACUCUCAGAUUCAAAACAUGCUGAUUAGCAUCAAGGAUCAAGUCAGCUGCUGCUGCUCCAACACAGUAUGAGGCUAGUGAUGUCCCAAGGAUGUAUCUCUUGUUGAGGGACUGGUUAGGAAGAACACUUCUACAGCCAGAGAGGGGCAGUCAAGAAAUGGAAUGGCAAGGCCACAGAACAUGACAUAAGCAGAGCUGUGGGAGACCACCUCAAGCCUCUGGUAGAGCCGGGGGUGGUGUUUACCACUCCACCACGCUGGAAAAGUGGGAUUGAUCCGUUUGUUUCAGUUUUUGCAGUAGUUGAAUCCUUUCACAUGGGAUUGAUACUGAUUUUCAUACUAAGAGGGAUCAAGAGUCUGUCGAUUGGUCGGUCAUUGGGUUCAUUUGUUGAAAUCAAAUCGAGCUUUAUUUGUACAGCACAUUUCAGACAUGAAUGCAACACAAUGGCUUCACAGGAAAAAAACAAAUGAAAAUGAACAGAAAUAUUUAGUACACAACAAACAGAAGACUAAUGAUCACCCUAAGAAAAUGCCAUUGAUUAAAAUAUUAAUUGGAUGCAAUAUCCAAACCCCAAAAAAGAAAAACUCACACCAAACUUAAAGACAGGAAGCAAACCAAAAAGGUGGAGCAACUAAAUGCAACACUUAUUUUUCAUCACUCAUCGAUAUCAUGCUAAAAUCAUUUGUCCGAGAGGAGAGAGAUGAGGUUGCAAGUCCUGUUAAAACUAACAGCUCAAAAACCACACGGAAUCUGGGAGUAAUGUGUACAUCCCUGGUUAGAGGACAAUUUGUAGAAAACAGAUAGCUACAUUUUGAAGUGUUGCAUUUUGACUCAAGUGGGUCACCAACAUGGUAAGUGUAACACAGCUCUUUUUGUGUUAGUCACUUUUUGUUAAAUCACAUAAAUAGUACUCUUCCAUUUCAGAGCCUGGAUUUUCCCCCUGAGGCUAAUAUCCAUAUCAUUUUGAAAUCAAAUGAUAAGGGGGCAAAACGUUUAGGCUUCUACAUUGUGACAUUAUUCAAAUACUCCUACUAAAGUGUUAACAUUCAACAUGAAUUCAUUGAUAUCAUGA